rnacentral:rRNA from 1 species
GAUGAACGCUGGCGGCGUGCCUAAUACAUGCAAGUCGAGCGAAGCGGGGACGGGUGAGUAACACGUGGAUAACCUCCUAUAAGACUGGGUAAACUUCGGGAAACCGGAGCUAACCCGGAUACUUAUCGAUGGAUCCGCGGUGCAUUAGCUAGUUGGUAAGGUAACGGCUUACAAAGGCAACGAUGCCUAGCCGACCUGAGAGGGUGAUCGGCCACACUGGAACUGAGACACGGUCCAGACGCCUACGGGAGGCAGCAGUAGGGAAGCUUCCGCAAUGGGCGAAAGCCUGACGGAGCAACGCCGCGUGAGUGAUGAAGGUCUUAGGAUCGUAAAACUCUGUUAGUAGGGAAGCGGUACCUAAUCAGGAAGCCACGGCUAACUACGUGCCAGCAGCCGCGGUAAUUC